CGCUCUGGUGGCCGAAUGGUUAGAGCGUCUGCCUCAGUUGCAGGAGGUCGUGGGUUGGAUCCCCAGUCGAGUUA